rnacentral:rRNA from 1 species
GAUGAACGCUGGCGGCGCGCUUAAGACAUGCAAGUCGAACGGUUCAACAACAUUGCUGAGGAUGAAGAUUUAUCAGAUUUCAAAGCGCUGUUGUUGGAUAGUGGCGGACGGGUGAGUAACACGUGAGCAACCUGCCUUCAAGAGGGGGAUAACAGAGAGAAAUUUCUGCUAAUACCGCAUAAGACCACAGCAUCGCAUGGUGCAGAGGUCAAAGGAGAAAUCCGCUUGAAGAUGGGCUCGCGGCUGAUUAGCUAGUUGGUGAGGUAACGGCCCACCAAGGCGACGAUCAGUAGCCGAACUGAGAGGUUGAUCGGCCACAUUGGGACUGAGACACGGCCCAGACUCCUACGGGAGGCAGCAGUCGGGAAUAUUGGGCAAUGGGCGCAAGCCUGACCCAGCAAUGCCGCGUGAAGGAAGACGGUUUUCGGAUUGUAAACUUCUUUUAAGAGGGUACGAUAAUGACGGUACCUCUUGAAUAAGACCG